CUUAUAGUUCCAUAAAAAUUCUAUUAGUAUACUCGGAUAUGAAACAGUCCAGGUUUUCAUGGAUUAGGAUCCCAAACAACUCCCAAAGGCCGUCGACUUUAUAAAAAAAUAUCAGAGUGAAGUUUAAUCGGGAAAGCGGGGCCCGGCUAUGAAAUACAAAAGGCCAAUGACAGACAGCCGCACCCUGUGAUCGAUGUUUCUUUUCAUAUUAGUAUUGUUGUUUAUAUAAACUUUCUUCUUCUUUUUUAUAUUAAUUUCCAUUUCUCUCUUUUCUUUCAUUUCCUUUCCUUUUCGUGUUUACCGUUUAGUGUUUUUCUUUUCUUCUGUUCUGCUCAAGGCGAUGCUAUUGGCAACAGCUGUCAAGCCUUGUGAUGGCAGUCAUUAUUUUCUAAUGGCAAAACCCCUGGUGUGUUCAGUUCUUAUAUUCAUCUUGUCUCGAUCGAGCUUCAGAUGACUCCCUUGAUGUUCUAAUUUUCAUGAUCCAUUCUAGACUGUUGCUUUUGUGCAUCUCGAGAAAGCAUUUUCAAUCCUUGUCGAGAAAUCUAGUCGAUUCAAGCUAUCUUAUUCAGAUGAUCAUGGGGUGCUGACAAUUUGACUUCCCAACAAUAUUCAUUUUUCCUCAUCCUGCAAUUUCUGCUGGUAUACUUUUUAGCAAUUAAUAUGCUGCCUUUUGCUACUGAUCCCUUUUGAGAGCCUAAUGUGUUUUCGACUUUAUCCUUCGUAAGAAACAAAAGCCCGCUCUGCAGUAAUCUGUCAUGGUUUGGUCUAGUUGAUUAUUUGUCCUGUGUCGGGUUUGACCAAUUGCAUUAGCGGAGAAGUGUUUUUUUUUAUUCAGAUGAGGAUUCCUUAGUGUUACGAGAAUUCGAGCGCUAAAACAAGAGAAAAGGACGAACUGAACAUGAUCCGAAGCAUAAAGCUUUUCUUCUUCUAUGCAUAAACAUCCGUGGCCUGGUUUUUCCUCUCCCAGGUAAUAAACCAAAUACCUUACGAGCAUACUCUAUUUUACUCCAAAUUAAGUUUCUUGCGUUAGAAUUGGUCACAGCCUCUUGUAAAAAACUUACAGGUUUGUUUUAUAUAAUCAAAGCAAUCAAGUAUUCUUGUUUCCUGACUUACAAAA